CCACCCCUCUCACUCAAAACAAAAUCCAGCCAACCACCUUGCCUUCCAGGAUCUGAAUGCCCUCUAAACAAUGUCAAACUCCCCAGUUUCGUAGAACCUACGGUUUCCUUCUAUCCCAAUAACACAGUGCUUGUACAAAAACAAGCUUGCAUCCUAGUGGAAAACUCCAUUCCAUUCACAAAGAAAGCAUUAUAAUAGACCGACUCAGGAGGGAAGAGAGAGGAACAGAGGGAUGUCGAAUCUAAUAGGAGUUUGGAUGCAAGAGUUUGCGAAGCUUGGCAAGAAUCAGGUGAGUGCAGGGAGUUUUAAUGUUGAGUUGGGUGGUCGUCGCUGCGCGCGAGAACAAGGCGAAUCAAAAGAAGAGCUCCUUGUUUUAGCAACUCAGCAAGGAAUUAAAGCUAAAGAGAGGAGGGAGGUGAUCCUCUCGGAUGCUACCAUGUGCUUGCUGAUGGAUCGGUUUGCGCCCGGAUGGAACUUAGGAUUUGGUCUAAUGUUGUAUAGAGGUUUACUUGAUGUUGAUCAGUUGUUACUACCAAUUUGAUUUCGCAUUUAUAUAUGUACUGCGAAAAAAAAAAAGUUCAUGAGAUCAUUUCAACUAUGUUUCUUAUCCUCUUAUGUUUUGGCUGGAGGAGGCUUGCACACGAUUGCUAAAUCUUUUCAAUGACUUUUGCCAGCCAAUCUGCAGAUUUGUUUCUAUUGUAUCGGCCUAUUUUGAGUUUCUAGUACUUGAAGUGAGACAUAAGAUCAUUGUAUUGAUUUGUUCCAUCUCAGUUAUAUCGGCCUAUUAUAUAUAUAUAUAUAUUUUUUUUUGAUGAAUAUGGGAGGCUGGAAGCCACCCAGCUUUUAUUAAUCACAGAGAAUAUAUAUAGAAUAAAAGGGGA
rnacentral:lncRNA from 1 species